rnacentral:rRNA from 1 species
UACGAACUGUGCGAACGUUGUUCGGAAUUACUGGGCGUAAAGCGCGUGUAGGCGGCCCUGCAAGUCGGGUGUGAAAUCCCACGGCUCAACCGUGGAAGUGCACUCGAAACUGCAGGGCUAGAGUCCUGGAGAGGAAGGUGGAAUGCUUGGUGUAGAGGUGAAAUUCGUAGAUAUCAAGCGGAACACCGGUGGCGAAGGCGGCCUUCUGGACAGUGACUGACGCUGAGACGCGAAAGCGUGGGGAGCAAACAGG